rnacentral:misc_RNA from 1 species
UUUCAAUUAUAUGCACACUUACUAUGUACAAAUCUCAAUACAAACAUUAAAUUAAUGUAAAUAUUAUGCUCAUUAUUUUAUAAAGUCAAGCUUAUACCAUAUGAUUAGAAUAAAAUAUAGAAAGCUGGUAGGUCAUUCUAUGUGUGGGACUAUGAAACUUCUUAUUCCAGUUUUGAUGGAUGGCCACCAAUGAAAGCUCACAUUCAGCAACGAACUAUUACAUCACAAGAAUUACAACAAACAUUUCAGACAUGUUACAUGAAUAUGCAACUUCUUCAAAUGAAAUGUACAAAUAUUUUUAUGAUUCUCACGCUAGAUUUUACUGCGUAGGGAUAACUCAUGCUUCAUUUGAUCCCUCAGUACUCUUCUUAAUAACUUGUUAGAAGCAGUUCGAGGAAACUCAGGGACAAUCUUAACAAAGCUCACCUUGAACAGGGGAUUGAGAUUGCUUUGGAUGGCUUUGGAGAAUUUCAUUUUCAACUUGUCUGGUUCAACAUUGAAUCCCUUCUUUAGAACUACAAAAAUUACUAAGAGUUCUGGACCACCAUCUACUGGUGCUACACUAAUUGCAGCAGUCUCCAUGAUGUCUUCAUCAGCCCGAUCACACACACGCUCAAUUUCAACAGAACUUGUCUUAAUGCCACCAAGAUUCAUGGUGUCAUCAGCUCUGCCCUGUACAAUGAAAUACCCUCCAACAGUUCUCUUAAGUAUGUCUCCAUGUCUCCUGAGAUGCAUUCCCUUAAACAUUGGCAUUCCCUUGAAGUACACUUUGUAAUGAUCAGCAUUAAGCAACCUAUCGCUUGCACCAAGGUAUAGAGGGAAUAAACCCACUUCACCAACACAAGGUUGAUCAUCAGGAUAAGGAACUCCAUUUUCAUCAAGGAUGACAAAGCCUGUUGUCAUUGAUGCAGUGCUGAAUGCUCCAAAAGCUUGUGGCUGAAGUGGACAUCCUUGGAUAUAGGAUGAUGCAAGCUCUGUGCCUCCACAACAUUCAAUAAUAGGCUUGUAAUAAGCUCUUGAAGAAAGCCAAAGGUCAUCAUCAACAUUGGAGGAUUCUCCAGUGGAACAGAAGGAUCUGCAUACACAUUUUUCAUUCAUUUCUUGUUGUGAUUAAAUGCAAACAUUGAUGUUUCCAAGUUCAAGAAGAAGACUACUUUAUCUUUGUCCAGUCUAAUCCUUCCGUACAGUUGGUACUCUUCCAAGCUUUCACUAAACUUGGAACUGUACCCAAAACAGUAACUCCAGCAUCCUGAACAAAUUUUCCAAACCCACGGCCAAGAGGAGAUCCAUGAAAGAGAGCAAGUGUUGCUCCAUUUAGAAAGCAUGAGUAAAGUAAAAUUGGUCCCAUCACCCAUCCUAAAUUUGUGGGCCAGCAGUAAACAUCACCAACUUGAAUAUCAAUGUGAGCCCACGCAUCGCUAGCACAUCGAAUUGGAGAAAGUUGGGUCCAUAAUAUAGCUUUUGGUUCUCCUAAUUCGGACCAAUAGGUAAGCUAGAUAAUCAAUUGUUAACAGGAAAGAUGCAGUACACUUAUGAUUAUGUGUUCCAAAAAAAAAAUUUCUACCUGUGGUUCCAGAUGAAAAGAGUAUAUUAGUGAUAGAAUCUACUGGUUGAUAAAUAGGACAGUAAUAAUUUGGUCUGCAAGAAAGUGAAUAGCAUGAUUUAUGUGGAUUGAAAUGCAAGUAUGUGAGAAAUUAAUUGGAGAUAUUUCAAUGGUGAUGACUUUAUUGAAGAUGAAAUAUUGUAGUGGUAAUUAUACUAGACCAGUAUAAAAUCAAGGUGCAAACAUUACCUUAGAAGGUGAUUGACACUUGACAGAAAAUCUUUCCAUGACAGAUCCUGUUGUCUUAAUUCAAUGCCUACAUCACUCCCUAUUGCUGGGAUCACGAUGGCUUUAUGUGGAUUAGCCUCUACUACGCGACUGCAAAAGAGGGGGGAAAAACUAUAGCCAUAGUUAUGCUAGUGGUAUGCUAAAAAUGUACCAUAUUUCAUAAAAUCUAACAGUAACUGCAUUUAAAAAAUAAGAGUUCAGCAUGCUAGUUUAGGCUUCAGCCUAUGCAAGUGCUUCAAGAAGUAAUCUCAUGAAGGAUCCUCAAGGAAGCACCUAAACGUGAUAAUCAGUAUCUGGAAUUUCAUUACAAUACAAAAGCAGCAUUUUUGAAAUGGUUGCUAACAAAGUUUAUAUAAGACAUUUCAGGAUAACAUUUCUAGCAAAAUGCAUCUGCUCCAACAAGGGCUCCCAUAAGGUAAAGAUGGUCAUUUGAUUCAAUAUUUCAGGCACCUGCCACACCUCAACCCUGAUGUUGUGGAAAUGGCACGCAAGAGUGGUUUGGGGCAGGAACAGGGCUCAACUUCGCAUCUUGUCUUCCACCCAAUUUAUGUGUUACUUCCAAAACAAUUCUCUAUUCAAUGCAACUAAAAUAUGCAAAAUCCUAGCUAUGCAAACACUUUGCUAUAUUUUAAUAAAUCCACUACUUGUCUGUAACAAAACUGAAAGUUGUUCAACUUCCAAUAGUGGCUGCCCACUCCUGUCAGGAAUUUGUCAUUUGUUCUAACCCCAAGCCCACCCUGCCUUAUCAGUCAUCACAGGUAUAGAUGGAUUCAAGGUGUCCAGAUAUUUGCAGGGGGAGAAACAGGUUUAUUUCCUAUGAAAUAUAUUUUAUAACAUAUUUCCCCAAGUACAUAACUAGGUUUUGUCAUCCCCAGUGCCCUUUUUAUGAGUGUAAACUGUAAAAAGCUGCAUCAAAACAUCCUCUGUGGCUCAAGGUUAAGAAUUCAGCAGACUACAUGUCAUUAUUCUUGAUCCGAGUAGCUAAGCUGUUAGGAUUUCAAAGAAAUCAAUUCAGCACAGUAACCAUGCUAUGUAUUUUUUUUUUUACGCACUUUAUUUAAGGUUGCAGGUGUAAAUAUGACUUGCACAACACAUACUCUAGUCAGAUUCAAGUCAGUCACACAUGAAUAAUAUGCAGCAUUUAAAAAACUUAUGCAGUUUCACCCUUAGAGUAGCAGUUGAGUUAGGUGGUAGCAGGGUCCACCUCCAAGAUCUCAGUUUAGUAUCAGAUAGAAGGUUUCUUACAUAACUGGUACAAAAAUUAGAAAUUGGUCUUACCUGUACAAAGGAAAUUUCCGACCUCCUCUGAUUAUAUAAUCCUGAGUAAAGAUAGCUUUAGCAUCGGAAAUGCGUAAACGACUCGCAAUUUCCUUGGCCGCAAAGCUAUCAGCUAUAGAUACAACAACAAACCCUGCUAAUACAAUGGCCAGGUAUAUUACAACAGCACUGACUGUCAUUGGCAUGUCAAUAGCAAUUGCAUCGCCUUUUGCAAAUGUUGCAUCCAAAGCAUUAGCCACCAACAUUACUUGUUCUCGAAGUUCUUUUAAUGUCAUGUGAUUCACUUUGGAAUUAUCACUUUCAUCACUCCAUACAAUAGCCACACUGUCAUCAUUUUUUCUAGGAUGACUGGAAGGCUGCAAACAGCAUUCAGCAAUAUUCAGAACUGAACCUGGUAGCCAUUUCCCUCCGUGUUUUGAUUUAUUGGUGGUGUCAAUAAUACACUUUGGAACUUCAUGAAAUACAAUCGAAAGCUCUCUCAGAAUAAUUGACCAAUAAUCAUCAGGAUGUUGAACAGAGUAUUUCUGAAAGAGCCUAAAACUUGUUACAGGAUCCUUGUAUGAAGCUCCUAAGAACUCAGGACCAUAAAUUUCCAUUGCACGUCCUAAGUUUGUAUAUUUUGACUGAGAUAGAGAAGGAAACCAAUAAAGAGGAGGUCCAUUAAUGGAGGCAUCCCAGUGAGCAUAGACAGAAUAGUAGAUGAGUUGGUGCAGACGAUGUGGAUGCCAAGGCAUUAGCAUUCUCUUAGCCACCACCUUUUGCCAAACCUCUCUGGCGUCUGACCCUUUCGCUUCACCAAUCGUUUGUUUGAGGAUUUUGUGAAAUUCUUUGGCCUCCUCCAUUGACAUGCCUGCCUUGAUCAUGUCAUUAACUUCAACAUCAGCUAUGGUUUUCUUCUCCAUUACUCUCUUUCAGCCCUGGUGCGAGUGAGGGUAUUGUGAAAGGUCCUCGAGUACUUUACAUCUCUCCUCCAUGUUCCAUUUAUGUUAGGUACCAACCCGGAGCAGUCAGUAGCCAUGUUUGGUAUGAAGGGGUAGUUGGG